GUCUCUGUAGUGCAAUGGAUAGCACGAUAGACUUCUAAUCCAGAAGUCGUGGGUUCGAAUCCCACCUGGGAUG